UACGUAGGGGGCAAGCGUUGUCCGGAUUUAUUGGGCGUAAAGCGCGUGUAGGCGGCAAGGUAUGUCGUGCGUGAAAUCUCCCGGCUUAACUGGGAGGGCCGUGCGAAACUGCCUCGCUUGAGGUCGGAAGGGGCAACUGGAAUUCUCGGUGUAGCGGAUGAAAUGCGUAGAUAUCGAGAGGAACACCUGCGGCGAAGGCAGGUCUCUGGGCAUUAACUGACGCUGAGGAGCGAAAGCAUGGGGAGCGAACAGG
rnacentral:rRNA from 1 species